rnacentral:lncRNA from 1 species
UUCUAUUUGAUUUGGGUGCAGAGAAGAUGGAUCGUAUCGGAAGUCUCCCUGACGAGGUUCUUUCUCACAUACUGUCUUCCCUAACGACAAAGGAAGCUGCUAUAACCUCGAUUCUCUCCAAAAGAUGGCGAAAUCUCUUUACACUCGUCCCUUAUCUCGACAUUGACGACUCUGUGUUUCUUAACCCGGAGGAAGGUAAGCGGGAACGAGAUGGUAUCCUCCAAAGCUUCAUGGAUUUCGUGGAUAAGGUUUUGGCUUCGCAGGGCGAUACUCCCAUCAAGAAAUUCUCCUUGAAAUGCAAAACUGGCAUCGACACAGAUCGUGUGAAUCAAUGGAUAUGUAAUGUCCUCCAACGUGGCGCUACAAGCCUUGAACUUGUCCUAGAUUUUCCUAGAGAAGACGAUGACGAUCUAGAUUCCGAUUAUAUGUAUUUUCUGCCUAAUGAGCUGUUCGUUAGCACCAAACUGGUCGAGUUGAGUUUAAGAAGCGAGUUUGGUGUUGAUUGGUGGCGUGGAGGUAGUUCAAACACUCUCUUACCAAUGCUCAAGACUCUCUGCUUUGAAUCUAAGUGGAUUCUGUUAUGUAAUGAUCUCCAGAUGUUUCUUGCUGCUUUCCCUGUUCUUGAGGAGUUCCACAUGGCUGAUAUCGAGUGGCCUCAAUCGGACCAGUCCGUGUCCAGUGAAAGCCUUAUGAAGUUAACUAUCUAUGCCGGCGGUUUCGAAGACUUUCGGAAUCCGAAGAGGAUUUCUUUUGAUACUCCGAAGCUAGUUUACCUUGAGUAUUCUGAUUUUGUUGCCGCGGAUUACCCCAAAGUUAACUUGCCCAAUCUAGCUGAGGCUGUACUCAUCCUUAAGGUAACUGAACAUCAGAUUGAUUUAAUACGAGAACCAGAUGAUGAAGAUGAUGUUUCUCUACGUCUUGGAAAUGUGUGGAAGCUCAUAAGUGGCUUAAGAAAUGUUAAUAAACUUUUCAUUUCUGCUGAGACUCUUGAGGUCAGUUGUUAUUUAUCUGAAACAUCAAAUGUUUUUUGAAACAAAUGUUGAGAUGGGGUUUGUCUUUGUUUCAGGUACUCUCUCUAUGCUGUGAGUCGAUGCCGGUGUUCAACAACCUCAAAUCUCUACAUAUUAUUUCUGAUGCGGAUCUGGGAUGGCAAGCGAUGCCGGCUCUCUUAAGGAACUCUCCACAUUUAGAAACUCUAAUCCUUAAGGUAUAUAUAUGCUCAAAACAUUGUACAAAGUCACUUACUGACUUGCUUCCUCUUUCAAGGGUCUCUUACACCAUGUGACUGACAAGUGCGGGGAUGCUUGCGACUGCAUAUCUCGGGAGGACAAAGGUCGUUCACUAUCAUCAUGUCCAGUGAAGAAGUUGCAGAUCAGAGGGUUCAAAGGAACAGUUAGAGAGAAAGGGAUGAUAAGGCAUUUCUUGGAGUCUUUCCCAUGUCUGGAUGAGAUGGAAGUAUAUGCCGACCAGAGUGAUAAUGAUCCUACAAACGUGGAAGUCAAUAGAAUUUAUAAAAUCGUUGCAUACAAGGUUCACGCGGAGGACGUUUCGACGGAGACUGUGCUACAGUCGAAGACUAUGUCCCAAACCCAGAUGGAGGAGAUCUCCUCUCAGGUAUAUAUUGAAUUACAUUAAAAAAGAAACCAUUACGGUUUUGAAUUAACUAAUCAGUCCUUUUCUUGGAUUCUGCAGUUUACACCCCGCAAUAACAGAAAUAAGUACGAUUUUGUUUACAUCUUGCAUGGAUCUCCUCCUCCUCCAACACCUCAGGAUAUGUCUGAGGACUACCUUAAAGAACAGCUUGAUGCUGCUGAGACCAAACUUGCGGAACUUAAUGAGGAAUAUAAGGAGAGGCAACGAGUCCAUGAUGCUAUGUUUGAUGGAAUUGUUGAGCAGUACCCGAUGAUAGCAUCGGCAUUGAAGGCUCGACAAGCUGCAACAGACUCAGAGGCGUCUAACGAUCAGGAGAAGAAGCGGGACGUCGAGGCUCUGUUGGAAAUCAUGGGGGACCUGUAUCCAGAUUUUGCAUCAGCGCUGAAGGCUAUGCGUGGGACUGCCUUAGAGCGAGGGGAGCCGUCGAGGGAUCAGGGGGAGAUGGCCGAGCUCGACCAACCUACGUCCACAGCUGUGGCAGCAGAUCUCUUGCCACGAGAUGGAGACUAGAUUUAUGAUUGUGCUUUUAUUUUCCCGUAAAACUUGCAUAUUACAAAUUACUAGGGAUUAACCCGGGCUACGCCCGGGAUUUUUAUUUUUUUCUAAUUGAAGUUGUUAAAUUAUUUAUAUUUAGGCUAUGAUUUAUAUUUAUAUAAAUGUUAAAAUGCAUGUCAUAAUUAAAAUUUAUUUUUAAAUUUUAACACGUUAAAUUAACAUAUUUUUUACUAUUUAAAUAUUUUUUUGUAAUUUUAUUGGCUAUCUAGUUAUCAUAUUUAACAAAACUAUCUUUUGAGUGUUGGAAUAAAUGUUUUAGAGAUUUUAUUAAACUGCAGAGUAUUUUUGGAUCGACCAUAUGCUCAACAUUCGAUCGAUCCGUAAAAUGAUGGUCGAUCUCCUUGGCCAAGUAAGUACAAUUUUAGCAAAAAUAUCUUUUAUUUUCAAAUAUUAAGUAUAUAACUAUUCUUUUUAAUAUUUUUUAAUUGUAUUUUUGAUUAAAUUAUUGUAUUAUAAUGGUUAUGUAAAUAUUUUUUGUGAUGUUUGAAUUUUUGUUGUUCGUAUACUUAACCUAGAUGAUAUUGAUGUUUAACAAUUUAUUGUUUUCUGGAAAUAGAAAAUAAUGAUAUAUCAAAACGUAUCUAAUACUUGUUAAAUGAUAUUAUAAUGUAAAUUACAUCUAUUAUUUGAAAAUAAACAUUUGUUGUUUUUAUUUUUAUUUUAAAUCAGAAAUUAUUUUUAUUUAAAAACAUUAUUCAUAUAUAAUAUAAUAGUUUAAGUUUGGAAGAUUAAUCUAAAUAUAUAAAUUAUGUAUAUUUUUUAAAAAAUAAUUUAAGAUAUUAUAUAUUGAGUAUCUGAAUAAAAUCUGAAUUUCUUAUCUUGAAAAUCAGAUAUUUAUAUUUUUGUCUUCAUGUUAUACUCACCAGUCCAUCAUUGAUAUUUAUAACUCAGUACGUUUUUUUAAAAACUUAGUUUUAAGUAAUAAACGAAUUUAAUAAAUUAAAUUCAUCACCUAUAAUGUUCUGUAAACUAUAUUUGAAAAGUCUCUAAAAUUAUAUUUUAAGCAUAAUAUUAUUAUUAUUUAAUUUAAGUUAUUUUAAACAUAAUAUAUGCUAAACCAACUUAAAUUAUAUUUACAAUAGGACCAUCCUAAACCGGUUAGUAAACCAAAAACAAUACUAAACCAAUAUGAACCAAUACUUGAUUCGGCGAGGAAGGAAGUGUUUCGGGAUAAACGUUUGAAUGGUUAUUAACUGAAAUGGUUUGAUCAUGAAAGAGUUAGUAUGAAUAUUAACAAUAAAAUUAUGGAUUAAAUUAAUUUAAAUUUGUAAGAAUACCUUUGAGUCUAUGAAAAACAAUUCAAUUCCCAUGAAUAAGUUUGGCUUUUGGAAGUUGGAGGUUUCCCAACAAUGAAUCCACAUAACAAAAAGUUUGUUGUUAUAAAAAAAUCUCAUUCAAGGUCAUUAAAGGUUUUUGGGACGGCAAGAGUUGAUAGUGAAACCAUUUUUUUGCUCGAGUGCUUUGAAAUUUUCCUUAAUAGUGUGAGAUUGAUGUGGAUGGAAUAAUGAGUUUUAUAGGGACUUUUUUGAUGUAAAACUAUACAUUUUUUUUUGUUUAAUGUGGUAUUUCUAUUUUUUAUAUAAUUUACUACCAUUUUAAGAUAGAAGUACAUUUUAAGAUAGAUGCUUAAAUCUUAAUGUACUUUUUCCAUUUUUUAAAAUAUUAUUUCCAUUUCUUAUAUUUUUAUUUACGUAAUAUCUAUAUUUUAUAUUUUUAAAUAGAUAUUUAAAUAUUAAUGUACUUUUUCCAUUUUUUAAUUGUGUAUUUACUUAUAUUAUAUAUUUUACAUUUUAAGAUAGAUGUUUAAUGCUUGAUGAACUUUUUCCAUUUUUAAAAAAAUUGUGUAUUUACUUAUUAUUACAUAUAUAAUUCAUAUAUUAUAUAUUUACAUUAUUUACUUAUUAUUUAUUUUUCUGUAUAUGUAUUUCCAUUUCUUGUACUUUUAAUUUACUUAAUAUCUCUAUUUUACAUUUUAAGAUAGAUGUUUAAAUCUUAAUGUACGUUUUCCAUUUUUUUAAAUUGUAUAUUUCCAUUUGUUAUACUUUCUAUUUACGUAAUAUCUAUAUUUUAAAUUUUAAUAUAUAUUUUUAAAUCUUAAUGUAAUUUCCCAUUUUUUAAAUUUGGUAUUCACUUAUAUUAUAUAUUUACUUAUUAUUUAUUUUUCUUUAUAUUGUGUAUUUCUAUUUCCUAUAAUUUCUAUUUACUAAUAAUUUUAUAUUUUAAGAUUGAUUUACAUUUUAAGAUAGAUGUUUAAAUACUAAUGUAUUUUUUCCAUUUUUUUUAAAUUGUGUAUUUCCUUUUCUUAUACUUUCUAUUUACUUAAUAUCUAUAUUUUACAUUUUAAGAUAGAUGUUUAAUAUUUAAUGUACUCUUUCCAUUUUUUAAAAAUUGUGCAUUUACUUAUUAUUGUAAAUAUAAUUCGUAUAUUUAUAUAUUUAUAAUAUUUACUUAUUAUUUAUUUUUCUAUAUAUUGAGUAUUUCUCUUUCUUAUACUUUAUAUUUAGUUAAUGUCUAUAUUUUAUAUUUUAAGAUAGAUGUUUAAAUCUUUGCGUAUUUUUCCAUUUUUAAUGUAAAACGGCAAUGUUUAAUAGAAGAACGUGGAUAAAUAGUCAAAUAGUUAUAUUUAUGUUUUUUUUUUCUUUUUUUAAUAAAAUUGUAAUGUUACAUUAUGAAGAUAACCCGUUUUUUUAGUGAACAAUGGUAAUCUUACAUAUGUUUAAUGUAGUUUUUCCAUUUUUUUAUGUUGUAUGUUUACAUAUUAUUUUUAUUUUUAAAUGUAAAAUGGUAAUUUUACAUAUGUUUAAUGUAGUAUUUCCAUUUUUUAUGGUGUAUGUUUACAUAUUAUUUAUUAUUUUCGAAAUUAUAUAUAAUUUUCUUUUUUGUUUAAUGUAGUUUUUUCAUUUUUUAUGUUGUAUGUUUACAUAUUAUUUUCUUAAAAUAAAAAUGUAAAAUGGUAAGCUUACAUAUGUUUAAUGUAGUAUUUCCAUUUUUAUGUUGUAUGUUUUACAUAUAUUUAUUAUUUUUAAAAUUAUAUAUAAUGUUUUUUGUUGUUUUUAUAAAACGGUAAUGUUACAUGAUGGAGAUAAACCGUCUUUUUUUAAGUGAAAAAUAGUAAUCUUACAUAUGUUUAAUAUAGUUUUUCCAUUUUUUUAUGAUGUAUGUUUACAUAUUUUUUAUAAUUUUCAAAAAUAAGUAAUAUUAAAAUGUAAAACUAUAUUUUAAGCCACGUGUCAUCUUUCGAGAUUAUAUUAUAUAUUUACUUAUUAUUUAUUUUUCUUUAUAUUGUGUAUUUUUAUUUCUUAUACUUUCUAUUUACUAAUAAUUUUAUAUUUUAAGAUUGAUUUACAUUUUAAGAUAGAUGUUUAAAUACUAAUGUACUUUUUCCAUUUUUUUAAAUUGUGUAUUUCCUUUUCUUAUACUUUCUAUUUGCGUAAUAUCUAUAUUUUACAUUUUAAGAUAGAUGUUUAAAUCUUAAUAUACUUUUUUCAUUGUUUUUAAGUUGUGUAUUUAUUUUUCUUAUAUUUUCUAUUUACUUAAUAUCUAUAUUUUACAUUUUAAGAUAGAUGUUUAAUAUUUAAUAUACUCUUUCCAUUUUUAAAAAAUUGUGCAUUUACUUAUUAUUGUAUAUAUAAUUCGUAUAUUUAUAAUAUUUACUUAUUAUUUUUUUUUAUAUAUUGAGUAUUUCUCUUUUUUAUACUUUAUAUUUAGUUAAUGUCUAUAUUUUAUAUUUUAAGAUAGAUGUUUAAAUCUUUACGUAUUUUUUUAUUUUUAAUGUAAAACGACAAUGUUUAAUAGAAGAACUUGGACAAAUAGUCAAACAUAUUUAUGUUUAUUGUAGUAUUUCCAUUUUUAUGUUGUAUGUUUUACAUAUAUUUAUUAUUUUCGAAAUUAUAUAUAAUGUUUUUUGUUUUUUUUAUAAAACGGUAAUGUUACAUUAUGGAGAUAAGCCGUCUUUUUUUUAAAGUGAAAAAUAGUAAUCUUACAUAUGUUUAAUGUCACGUGUCAUCUUUCGAGAUUAUAUUAUAUAUUUACUUAUUAUUUAUUUUUCUUUAUAUUGUGUAUUUUUAUUUCUUAUACUUUCUAUUUACUAAUAAUUUUAUAUUUUAAGAUUGAUUUACAUUUUAAGAUAGAUGUUUAAAUACUAAUGUACUUUUUCCAUUUUUUUAAAUUGUGUAUUUCCUUUUCUUAUACUUUCUAUUUGCGUAAUAUCUAUAUUUUACAUUUUAAGAUAGAUGUUUAAAUCUUAAUAUACUUUUUUCAUUGUUUUUAAGUUGUUUAUUUCUUUUUCUUAUAUUUUCUAUUUACUUAAUAUCUAUAUUUUACAUUUUAAGAUAGAUGUUUAAUAUUUAAUAUACUCUUUUCAUUUUUUAAAAAUUGUGCAUUUACUUAUUAUUGUAUAUAUAAUUCGUAUAUUUAUAUAUUUAUAAUAUUUACUUAUUAUUUUUUUAUAUAUUGAGUAUUUCUCUUUUUUAUACUUUAUAUUUAGUUAAUGUCUAUAUUUUAUAUUUUAAGAUAGAUGUUUAAAUUUUUACGUAUUUUUCUAUUUUUAAUGUAAAACGGCAAUGUUUAAUAGAAGAACUUGGAAAAAUAGUCAAACAUAUUUAUGUUUAUUGUAGUAUUUUCAUUUUUAUGUUGUAUGUUUUACAUAUAAUUAUUAUUUUCGAAAUUAUAUAUAAUGUUUUUUGUUUUUUUUUUAAUAAAACGGUAGUGUUACAUUAUGGAGAUAAGCCAUCUUUUUUUUAAGUGAAAAAUAGUAAUCUUACAUAUGUUUAAUGUAGUUUUUCAUUUUUUUAAUGCUGUAUGUUUACAUAUUUUUUACAAUUUUCGAAAAUAAUUAAUAUUAAAAUGUAAAACUAUAUUUCAUGCCACGUGUCAUCUUUCGGGAGAAAUUUUUUCCGCUGAUGUGGACGUCCUAUGGAGCCUCAAAAGCUCCCUUUUAUUAGUAGAGAUUUUUGGGUUUCGAUAUUUUGGGUAUUAGGUAUGUCGGAUCUAGGAAAUUUUGUACCGAUUAGAUUGUUUAGAAUUUUGGAUCGUAUCGGUUUGGUACUCGGAUCAGUUCCAUUUGUUAAAAUUUAAAUCUAUAGAAAAUUACUGACUUUAUCCAAAAUUACUAGUUCGGAUUCGGUUUUUUUAUAUCCAAUUUUUUUUUCAAAAAUAACAAAAAUAUCUUCAAAUAAAUGAAAAUAUGUGCUACCUAAAAAUUAAAUAAUAUAUUCAAAUUUAUAACUAUUAUUUUAAAUAUUUGAAUUAUUAUAAAUAUUAACAUAACUAAUAUUUCUAGAUAUAUUCUAUCCGUUUCAUAAUUGAUGAUGUUUUAGAAGAUUUUUGGUGUUUCAAAAUAUAUGAUGUUUUGAUAUUUUUAUGUUAUUUUUAACUCUAUUGAAAACUGUGUAACCAAUUAGAUGUUGUAAUCAUUUUUGUAACUGGUUGGAUGAUUUUUAAAUUAUAUUUUGAAACUACUUUUUAAGAGAAAAGUAAAUUUCUUAAUCUUUGUGCAUUAAAGAAUAACAUCAUGUAUUGUGAAACAGAGGGAGUAUAUGUUUACAUUUCGGAUAUUUUUGGAUAUAUGUAAUUUUCGGGUUCAGUUCAUGCUAGGGUUUGAUUUUUCAGAUAUAGAAAAUUAUGUAUCGUUCGGAUAUUUAUGUCGAAACAGGUUGGUUUGAAUUUCGGAUCCGUUAAGUCUAGAAAUUACUUAUUAAUAUAUUAUGUUUCAUUUAAGUUUAAUUAUUAUACUUUUUACUAUGUCUAAAUUUUAGUUCUCGACGAUGUUGCUCUGCUUGAUCGGAUGGUGGAAAAUGGUCAUCCACCUGACCUUGUCACUUACAGAACAAUUGUAAACAGAUUGUGUAAGAUAUUAUACAGUGCCGCCAUGACGUCAUAGCGAUGCUCAAAAUCUUUUCAGUGAAAUGCACGAGAAAGGAAUCGUUCCGGAUGUAAUCACCUACAGUUGUAUGAUAUAUGGUUUUUGUAUCUCUGGUAGAUGGAGUGAUGGCGAGCGGUUGUUGCGCGAAAUGGUAGAAACAGAUAUCAAUCCCAAUGUUGUAAAACACAUUGAUCAAUGCAUUGGUCAAAGGAGGCAAGUUCAUUGUGCCGACGAACUAUACAGUGAGAUGCUCCACAUGGGUGUAUAUCCUAAUACAGUCACAUAUAAUUCAAUGAUCGAUGGACUAUGCAGACAGAACCGCUUAGAUGAGGCAAAACGUACAUUCGAUUCGAUGGGUAGUAAAGGCUGCUCUCCAAAAGUAGUGACCUUCACUACACUCAUUAAUGGCUAUUGUAAGGCUGGGAAGGUUGACGAUGGGAUGGAGCUUGCCCACGAGAUGUACCAAAGAGGAAUAGUUGCUGAUGAAGUUACUUACAAAACUUUGAUUUAUGGGUUUCGUCAUGUGGGUCAUUGAAGCCCUAGACAUUUUCCAGGAGAUGAUUUCCAGUGGUAUAUGUCCUGAUACCAUUACUAUCCGGAAUAUGCUGAUUGAUUUAUGGAGUAAGGAGGAACUUAAAAUGGCUGUGACAAUGUUUUAGUAUCUCCAGAAGAGUAUGGUAUGUCCUCCUCAACACAUAUUUUUUUCAAUUUCUUUGCUUACCUUUCGUGUGUUUGGAGAAGAAUGUAAACAUAUCCAGGAAAGUUUGCUACCAAAUUUCCAAUUUCAGCUGAAAAAUACAGAAUCCUUAUUAACCCGCUGAUUGGUUGGGUGUGCUUGUUUUGCAGCGUUAAUAAUUACAGGAUGAAUGAAGAACAAAUGUUUUUAUGUCUUUGGCAGCAAAGCUUCAGUGCCAUUUAAUUUUUGUUGGAUCUGUUCCUUACUAAUUUUUUAUCAGAUUACAAAAUAUUGAAAUUUCUUUAAGCCUGGUGAUUUUGAAUUUUAUUUUUAUUUUUUUAUUUUCAUUUUUUAUUUUAUAGUUUUUUGAGUAUUUUUUUAUUUUUCUAAUGGCUUUAUCACCAAAGUAGUAAUGAUUUAUGCAUAUAUAUGUGGAUUGGCGUUUGCUAAUCAAAAUACCAAAAUAGAUAAUACAAUAUAUCAAAUUUUACAAAUGUUACCUGGAGAUGUGCACAUGCCUACAUGUUUAUAUGUGUACAUGAUUACAUUUGUACAUGUGUACUUUUUUUAUGUGUACAUAUAUAUAUUAUUAAAAAAUAAAUAGGCGGAUAGUGUUAAAAUAAUUAUUUGUGGAUUGAUUUAUAUGUGAAUAGUGAAAACGUACUCGUCUAUAUACUCUUUGAGAUACACAUCCACACAAAAAUUAUAAAAUGAUCUGAAAAAUUCAUCAAGAAUUUGAGACUAAUUACAACAUUUCAUUUUGACUAGCUCACUUAUUACUAACUAUUGUUUUCCAGUGAACUUCCGACGGACAAUGCUGUUGGAAAAUUUCCUCGAAAAUUUCUAACAAAAAGCAUUGGUCUGGAUUUCCAUGUGUUCAUAUGUACAUAUUUACAUGUGUGCAUGGUGUACAUGUACAUAUUAUUAAAGAAACGUACAUUUCGUUUGUAAUGUACAAAUGCAACAUGAUUAUACACAUUACAUUUGAGAAGUUUCAAAUCACAUUUGAGAAGUUUAAAAUCAUAACACAAAAUAUCAGAAAACACAAAAGAUGAAAGUGAUGUACAUAACAUAUAGGUGAUUUUAAUGGUUUUCACAAACAUCUAAAUGUACACUUAAUUAAUAAACAUCUACAUGUACAUUUAGAAUGUACACAUGUAUUCGAUUUUUUUAAUAAUUAAUUUAUUAAUGACAUCAUUAUAAUUAUGUCAUCUUCUUCCCGAGUCCCUUAGGGUUACAAAUUUUACAAGAAAUUUGAGGAUUUUUAACUCAUUGGUAGGAACAAAAUGAAAGACAGCUUAAAAACAUUUAACUUGGUCUUAUUGCUCUUGAUUUCAUGUUGAUUUGUUAGCUGCGAUUUGUCGGCGGUAAAAUGAAACAAAAUGAAGAAGGAAAACAUAUGCAUGACAGCACGAUAAACGUUUCUGUGACCGGAGCUUGAGGGUGACGACGAGUGCAGCGGCUCAGGCAAAGAAGCUUACUGUGGUCAGGGUUACCCGCAUUCGAGCUCGUGACUCAAUCAUAUUCGCGACAGAGAGUUUUGAUGAGGGUUGGGAUAGUUUUGACGGUAAUUGAAAUUCAUAAAGGAAAGAGAGAGAGAAUAAAUCUUGACCAUUCAGUAUGUAAUUAAAUCAAUGGUUUAUAGCAAUUCAAGUGACUUUAUUAAUUGAUGCUAGUUUUUCUUUUUCUUUUUUAACGUUGGGAACACAUUACAUCAUCAUAUAAUCACUAGAUCUAUUACAUAUGAUGAUCAACUACCUGCAACAUAUGUGAUAUUGAUGAAUAGCUCCACGAAUAAUGAUUCCACGAUGAAGCUCUUCCCGAAACACUUGAAACCACAGACGGUUUUGCAUGUACGACAUCCUCGAUAGACAGGUUCUCACCGCAACAAGCGACCACAACGAACGGCUCUGUUUACAGUACUCUGGAACCUCCGAAAGCUUUGCAUCCUAUAAUCUACAAGAAAUUGCAUAGUAUGGGAUUCAAACCCCAUACCUAGGUGUAGAAGCCUUUUAACCAAUAGGCUAGGGUGCUUCCACAAUUGAUGCUAGUUUAGUUAGAUAUAUUUUCUAAAAGGAUGUAACUGGAUCAGUUAGGAGACAAGGAAAAAGUUAAGAAAAAGUGUCAUGAGGAGUACAUAGUGCUUUAGAGUGUAAAGAAGUAGAUGUGAUGUGACCUAUUGUGUAAAGGGUAAUUCUCCUAAAUAGACUAUUUUUAAGUUUUGAUCACAAAAAUAUACUACAAUGAGGAAAAUGACCAAAAUGUUUCAUUUAAUAGGUAAAAGGAACCUAAUACUCUAGAUAUAAAAAAAAUUAAAAAAUUAAAAAUAAAAUAAAAUAAAAAUAAAUAAACUUUUUUUAUAGUUUUAGAUUAUAUGUUUUCAAAUUCGAAUUUUUUUAUAAUUUUUGUUACAUAAAUUUUUUUUUCAAAAUUUUUAUUUUAUUUUUUUUUUCAAAUUUUGUUUUUGUAAUUUGAAAAUACUAUUUGAAACUAUUUUUAAAAUUUUUAUUAUAAAAUUUUUAAUAUUUAUUUUUUAUUUUAUAAAAUUUUAAAUCUCAAUCCCAAAUCUCCACCCCUCAGCUCUAAACCUUAAGAGUUAGAUUAGUUAACUUUAAUGAUAUAUAUGUAUAUUUACUUCUUUAAUAAAAUAUUUUGGUUAUUUUGAUAUUUAUGGUCUAUAUUUGUGACAUAAUUUUUUUUAGUGCUAUUUUAGGCUAUUUCCCGAUUGGUUAUAUUCGGUUUGAUAAAAAGUACAAAACCAACCCUAACUAAGUGUUCUUCAUUUCAAUUGAUUCCUUGUCUUAACCAGCGACUCAUCGCGCACUCUUUUAACUCCCAGUCUUCUGAUUCUAAACUUGUAUUCUUGCAAGAGAAGAUGGAUCGUAUCGGAAGUCUACCCGAAGAGGUUCUUUCUCAUAUACUGUCUUUCCUGACGACAAAGGAAGCUGCUAUAACCUCGAUUCUCUCCAAAAGAUGGCGCAAUCUCUUUACACUCGUCCCUAGCCUCGACAUUGACGACUCUGUGUUUCUUAACCCGGAAGAGGGUAAGCGGGAACGAGAUGGUAUCCUCCAAAGCUUCAUGGAUUUCGUGGAUAAGGUUUUGGCUUCGCAGGGCGAUACUCCCAUCAAGAAAUUCUCCUUGAAAUGCAAAACUGGCAUCGACACAGAUCGUGUGAAUCAAUGGAUAUGUAAUGUCCUCCAACGUGGCGCUACAAGCCUUGAACUUGUCCUCGAUUUUCCUGGAUCAGACGACAAUUGGGAUUCCGAUUAUAUGUAUCUUCUGCCUAGAGAGCUGUUCGUUAGUAGCAAACUGGUGGAGCUGAAAUUAAGAAGCGAGUUUGGUGUUGAUUGGUGGCGUGGAGGUACGGACACUUUCUUACCAAUGCUUAAGACUCUCCGCUUUGAAUCUACGUGGAUUCUGUUGUGUGAUGAUCUCGAGGUGUUUCUCUCUGCUUUCCCUGUUCUCGAGGAGUUCUACAUGGCUGAUAUCGAGUGGCCUCAAUCGGACCAAUCCGCGUCGAGUCAGAGCCUCAGGAAGUUAACUAUCCAUGCCGGCGGUUUCCAAGAUUUUCGAAAUCCGAAGAGGAUUUCGUUUGAUAGUCCGAGUCUCGUUUACCUUGAGUAUUCUGAUUUUGUUGCCGCGGAUUAUCCGAAAGUUAACUUGCCCAAUCUAGCCGAGGCUGUGCUCGACCUUAAGGUGACUCUACAUCAGAUUGACUUAAUACGAGAACCAGAUGAUGAAAAUGUUGUUUCUCUACGUCUUCGGAAUGUGUGGAAGCUCAUAAGAGGGUUAAGAAAUGUUAAUAAACUUUUCAUUUCUGCUGAGACUCUUGAG